rnacentral:rRNA from 1 species
GAUGAACGCUGGCGGCGUGCCUAAUACAUGCAAGUCGAGCGAACGGACGAGAAGCUUGCUUCUCUGAUGUUAGCGGCGGACGGGUGAGUAACACGUGGAUAACCUACCUAUAAGACUGGGAUAACUUCGGGAAACCGUAGCUAAUACCGGAUAAUAUUUUGAACCGCAUGGUUCAAAAGUGAAAGACGGUCUUGCUGUCACUUAUAGAUGGAUCCGCGCUGCAUUAGCUAGUUGGUAAGGUAACGGCUUACCAAGGCGACGAUGCAUAGCCGACCUGAGAGGGUGAUCGGCCACACUGGAACUGAGACACGGUCCAGACUCCUACGGGAGGCAGCAGUAGGGAAUCUUCCGCAAUGGGCGAAAGCCUGACGGAGCAACGCCGCGUGAGUGAUGAAGGUCUUCGGAUCGUAAAACUCUGUUAUUAGGGAAGAACAUAUGUGUAAGUAACUGUGCACAUCUUGACGGUACCUAAUCAGAAAGCCACGGCUAACUACGUG